GUCUCCAUGCAGACGUGUACCAGAGUUUAACCAGUGAGGUGCUUAACCAGCAUGGAUAUCAGCUUUAAAAAGUCUCAGAGAGAUGUUGGCGACGCGGAUGACUUGCCUGGCUCCGCAGUCAACAGCCAAAGAAAGGCAGUUGGAAAAAGAUAACAUUGACUUUUAAAAACCAAGCCUCAUUCCCUACUCUUCUCGGUUUAGGAUUACAUUUACUACUGUAGCCGCCCUCCCGCGGGCAAAAAUAAAAGGGGGAGAAGCCGAGGAAGAGUGAGAGGGCCUCCCCUAGCAGCCAGCAGGGCUGCUGCAACACCCACCUGAAACACGGAGCGCGACCUACCUUCCCGGAGAGCCCAGCCCCGAGGGCGUUUCCCCAACGCAUCAACUCGUCCCUCCCGGGUUCUUAGUUGGAGCAUGGAGGAUCUUUAACUGUAACAUGUGGGAUCUAGUUCCCUGGUCAGGGAUUGAACCCGGGCCGCUGGAAGCAUGGAGUCUUAACCACUGGACCCCAGAGUUGUCCCAGGGUUUGCAAGCAGAACACCGUGGAAGACCCUGACCUCAUGCUGGCCUAGUCCAUCUCCUGCCUCUGGGCAUUCAAACUGUGCCGGACAUUUGAAAAACCAUGGAUUUCCUGGGAAGAAGUUUCCUGCCUUGGUAAAAGUGUUUCAGUAGCUCAGCACAUUCACCAUGUGGAAAUUCUGAUACUUCCCUUUUUAUGUAAUAGAAGGCACAUGUGAGAAAGGGCUUCAUUGUCCAAUCAGGAAAGGAGUGUCACCAUGUAGCACUGAGUGCUCAGAGUACUUCAAAGGUGCUGGAAUUGUGGACCUCACUCCCUUUUUGAGCUCACAUCUGAUCACCCACCUUAUUCCAGCUGGAAAGAAUAAGGGAGGAAGGGAAAAUGAACAGAUUAAUUUAUGAAGUGCCUGCCAUGUUUGGGUACCUUACUAGCUACUUUCCUGUACGUUGUCUGAUUUCUAUAACAAUCCAUCCUACAGAUGAAGAAAUGAAACCCCAGGAAGAUGACAGGUGUGCCAAGUUUAUACAGCCAGUCAGUGGCAUGGCUGGGAUUUGAUCCCAGGUCUCUCUGACUUGGUUAUAUCCCUGGCCUCAGAAUCAAAAGAUGCAUGUGCCUGCAGUCAAAUUACUUAGCAUCUCUGAGCUUAAGCUUUCUCAUCUGUAAAAUGGGCUAGUAAUAGCUAUUUUGCAGGUUGGCAUUCACAGUCUAGGGAGUUAAUGUGUGGGCGUACUCAAAUCUUUCACAUAGGCCUGGCCCACGGAAGGCGCUGAAAAUAAGAUAGUAAAUAAGCAGGCACAAAGUUGGGCAUUCUGGCAUAAUACUGUUGCCAGCAACAUGAUGGCUAGUGUUGGGGAUAUAGCUACGUCUUGAAGGUGACACAUUGAGUAGUGCUUGCCUUAAACUCUGAGACUAAGCAGUUAAGACUGAAGGAUGGACUUGAUUUUGUGGCAGGCAAAAGGAAAGAUGGCUAUUGCCUCCCAGGCCUAACCAUUCCACACGCUUCUCACCAUGAAUUUCCCACCAUCCACUGUGUUAAGACAAAACAAUGCAGUCCACAGAGCUCAUUCUGCUGUCUGUUGGAGAAGAAUAAAAAACCUCAUGUUGCCUCAUCCAGGCAAGGCAGUAGCCACAAGGGAACACCCUGCCUCCAAGACUCCCUUCCAUUUUUUCCACAUGACAAAGCAGUUUCAAGCCUAAGACCCAUCCUUAGCCUAGCUCAGUCAACUUUAUCAGAAAAUGGCAAACAGAAAAACUCUAGGUAUCCUGGGCUGAGGCAAAUGUCAGAGUGAGAGCUGUUCUUUAUUAUUUUUUAUGUUUAAAUCACUAUUCAUAUAACCGUCAUGAUCUUUGAUGGAUUGGCAUUUAAAGCGCUAAAGUGUGUGUCUAAACCUUGCACCGAAGAGAUGAAUUUAUUAAUCCAGGAGAAUCUAGCCCAAUGUUCUUGGAGCCAUGGGUGUUGUUUGGGUGCCACCUGGUGGCCAAUGAUCUUCCCUGUUGGAGAGGUUGUUGGCACUGGUCAUCAGUUUUCCUAGCCCUGGCUACCUGUUAAGGAUCGCCCUGAGAUUCUCACAGGACUUCCAGUUGCUAGUUCUGCAUAUAAGCAUUACUCUGUCCUGACAACAUGUGAAAAGCUGAGCAGAUUGAACAACCAACAAUUCUUUUAGGAUGCCUAAGAGAGGCAGGACACAGUAAACCGCUGCUCCCAAGAUUACAGAGAAUAAUAGCUUAACGGAGCAGAGACUCGUUCCCCAGCCGAGACAGCUACAGGAGUCAGUGCUGGCCGGGAAAACCUGCGCUGUAACUGGUGAAUGGGCACCCAGCCAUAGUGCAACCGCCACAAUAUUCUGGGAUGUGCCUGCAGGAGCUUGAUCAGGUUCCCACAGUAAACAGCACAGAAAAAUCCCCUCCGGCUUCCUGGAGCCGGACAGGAGAAGGAACCAUUCUGAAUAUACCAGAGCACUCUGUGCUUCUUAACACCUGUCCUCAGGAGAAACUACGUAAGCAGGGCAUAGCUGAACCUGCUCAGUUAUGGGAGAACCCAACCCCAGCCCAGUCUAGGCAGCCUGUUCCACCUAAGAGGGUGGGGAGCAGGAAUGAGAAACACUUGAGAAGUUCCCAGUCCAGCGGCAGAGGCUCACUAAGAGACUGAGACAUAAUCACAGGACUAUAGAAAUCCUCUCAUAUGCCCACCACUUCCCCUCAUAUCACUAAAGGCCCAGCACUUCCUUCUACCCGGUACAUCAUCUCCAGCUAUCAAGAAAAAGCUUACAAACCACCCCAAAAGGCAAAAAUUUGAAGAGACUGACCAAGCAUCAGAGCCAGACAUGGCAGGAAUGUUGACAUUAUCAAUUCAGGAAUUUAAAAUAACUAUGAUUAAUAUGUUAGGGGCUCUAAUGGAUAAAGUAAUCAGCAUGCAGAAACAGAGGGGCAAUGUAAACAGAGAGAUGGAAAUCCUAAGAAAGAACCAAAAAGAAAUGCUAGAGAUAGAAAACACUUUUACAGGAAUGAUGAAUGUCUCUGAUGGGCUCAUUAGUAGACUGGACACAGCUGAGGAAAGAAUCUCUGAGUGUGAGGAUCUCUCAAUAGAAUCCUCUGAGAUGAAAAGCAAAGAAAACAGAGACUAAGAAACAGAACAGAAUAUUCAAAGGCUGUGGGGCAACUCUGAAAGGUGUAACACACUUAAUGGAAAUACCAGAAGGAGAGGAAAGGGAGACAAGAACAGAAGAAAUACUUGAAACCAUGACCGGGAAUUUCCCCCAAUUAAUGUCAGACAUCAAACCACAGAGGAUAAAUGCCAAAAAACACCCUACAGGGCCUUCCCUGGUGGUCCACUGGUUAAGAAUCCACCUUCCAGUGAAGGAUUGCAUGUUUCAUCCCUGGUUGGGGAGCUGAGAUCCCACAUGCCGCAGGGCAGCUAAACCCACACACGGCUUCUAGAGAGAAGCCAGCGCACCACAACGGAAGAUCGUGAGUGCCGUGACUGAGUCGAAGCAGAAAAAUAAAUAUAUAAAGAAGUAAAUAGUAAACAAAACACCCUACACCUGGGCACAUGAUUUUCUCAUUACAAAAAUCAAAGAUAAAAAAAAAUCCUGAAAGGAACUGGGGGAGCGAUCUUAUCUAUAAAGGAUGAAAGAUAAGAAUUACACCUACUAUCUCUUCAGAACCCAGGAAAGCAAGACAACAGUGGAACGAAAUAUUUAAAAUGUUGAGUGAAAACUCCCACCAACCUAGAAUUCUGUACUGUGUGAAAUUAUUCUUCAAAAGCGAAGGAUAGAUAAAGGUUUUCUUGGACCAACACAACUGAGGGACUUUGCUGCCAGUGGAUUUUCCUUCAAAAAUUGUUUAAAAAGUUCUUUAGAGAGAAUGAAAAUAAUAUAGGACAGAAAACAUGAUCGACAUUAAGAAAGGAAGAACAUCAAAGAAGGAUUAAAUAAUGGUAAAACAAAAACUAUCAUUUUCCUUAUUUUUAAAAAUUUAUUACUUAUCAUUAAAUAAUAUUAUUAUUAUUUUCUUAGUCUUAAUUGUUUAAUAGUUUGUUGAAAACAAUAAUGGCAAAAUAUAUUUGAUUAUGAUUUUAUAUAUAUUUACAUUUAUAUAUGCUUAUAUAUAAGUGAAAUGGUUUAUGGAAAAAUCUCUGUACCUUCCUCUUAAUUUCCCUGAAAACCUAAAACUAUUCUGAAAAAAUAGAGCGUGUUUUUUUUUUUUUAAGUCUAUGGUCUUUUUUUUUUAAGUCUAUGGGGGUCAUUCCCAAAUGGUUCAAAGAAUCUGCCUACAGUGCAGGAGAUGUGGGUUCAAUCCCUGGGUUGAGAAGAUCCCCUGGAGAGGGAAAUGGCAACCCAUUCCAGUAUACUUGCCUGGAGAAUCCCAUGGACAGAGGAGCCUGGCGGGCUACAGUCCAUGGGAUCACAAAAGGGUCAGACACGACUUAGCGGCUAAAGAACAACUUGGUAGGGAGAGACAUUAGUGUUGUUUAAAAACACAACUUCACAGAUGAUUCUAAUGUGCAGCCAAGGCUGAGAACCACUGUGUGAGGAUUUCAUUUUUAAAUUACUGAUGGGUAGUUUUCUUUAUUUCACAAAAUAUUGUUAUUGAGCUCUCACCAGGUGCUAAGCACUGUGAUAAGAGAUGAUGAGCCAAAAAAGACCAGCCCCUUGUCCUCACAUAGAUUACAGAUCUUAAGAACAGGGCAGCCUGAACUCAUCUGGGGGUUAGCAAAGGUUUACCUGAGGAACUGACUUUUGAAGUGAGUUCUGAAAGUUGAGUUGGAAUUAACCAGGUAAGGGUGAUGAACUGAACUACUUAGGUAAUUGCCUCAGGUGUCCUUGCCCUUUUGGGCAAAUGGCCCAUGAAGUUGGAGGAGGCAGGCUUUUCUUGAUCUGACUUUGAUCUCUCCCUAAGUGGACAAUCACGUCCCUGGAUAGUUGAAGACAAUUAUGUAUUUAUUUCAUUGAGUUAAUGUAAGAAAACAAUAAUGUAGGAAAGCGUUGUCUCUAGGGACAGCUACAAGUAUGUGGACGAGGAAGGUACAGGAAGGAGACAAGACGGAGCACUGAAAAUAAAGAAUGCAACCUAAAACAAAAAGAUGCCGUAUUUCAUGAAACCGAUUGGCAAAGGCAGAUAAAUGCACAGUGCUGGUGAGAAUGGAAAAUCUCUCUGACACAGCAAACUCACUGUUAGAAAAUUAGCCUGCAGAAUUAUGGGCAUCACUAUGUGAAGAGUCUAGCAGAGAAAGAGAGCAUGGCUGGGCUUAAAUAAUAGGAUGGCAGCCCGGUCUGGGAGAGAGGUUUCUUUUUGAGAGAGGAAAAGUACGUAUUGUGUGGGAGGUUGUCUCAGUGGCUGAAUUACCAUUGAUCGCUCCAUGUGGGAUUAUGUAAAAGCAGAUCCAUGUGCAGAAACAUUUCUAUAUAACAAUCUCUCCUAUCCUUUUAGUUUCAGUUCAAUUCAACACACUUAUUGAGUACCUGCUGAUACAAGGCUUUGGCAGGGAUAAAGAACUGUAUUUUAAUAAGGGGUAACACCUGGCUUCCUGUGCUCCAGAAACAUGGUCUAGAAAGGAAUGCUGACAUGUGACAAAUCCAAAUACAGUGAUAGCAAUAAAAUUAUCAGGGCUUCCCCAAUGGCUCAGCGGUUAAGAAUCUGCCUGCGAUAUGAGACACAGGCUUGAUCCCUGAAUCGGGAAGAUCCUCUAGAGGGGGAAAUGGCAACCCACUCCAGUAU